UAGGGAAUCUUCGGCAAUGGGGGGAACCCUGACCGAGCAACGCCGCGUGAGUGAAGAAGGCUUUCGGAUCGUAAAGCUCUGUUGUUAAGGAAGAACGAGUGUGAGAAUGGAAAGUUCAUGCUGUGACGGUACUUAACCAGAAAGGGACGGCUAACUACGUGCCAGCAGCCGCGGUAAUACGUAGGUCCCGAGCGUUGUCCGGAUUUAUUGGGCGUAAAGCGAGCGCAGGCGGUUAGAAAAGUCUGAAGUGAAAGGCAGUGGCUCAACCAUUGUAGGCUUUGGAAACUGUUUAACUUGAGUGCAGAAGGGGGGAGUGGAAUUCCAUGUGUAGCGGUGAAAUGCGUAGAUAUAUGGAGGAACACCGGUGGCGAAAGCGGCUCUCUGGUCUGUAACUGACGCUGAGGCUCGAAAGCGUGGGGAGCGAACAGG
rnacentral:rRNA from 1 species